GGGGGCGACAUGGUUUCGACGUGGGUCGCAAAACCUGAGGUGCAUGCCGAGGUGCGGGAGACCUCGUAAAACUAUCCGCACACCAACAGCUGCCAACGACGACAGCUACGCUCUCGCUGCCUAACCCCAGCGGGCCUCAGACCGCCGCUUGCCGAUGGACGGCGGGUUCCUGGGGUAACCAGACAUCGGAUCGCGGUGAUGGGUGUCCGGACUUGAUCCGCUAAAACUCCACCGGACUCGCCGACCGAGUGCCCUGCCCCUCGGGCGCCGGGAGGCUAGACCCAAUAGAGCGGGCUAAGCAUGUAGAACCAAGGGCAGAGGGCUUGCGGACGCGGGUUCGAUUCCCGCCGCCUCCACCA
rnacentral:tmRNA from 1 species